rnacentral:rRNA from 1 species
CUAGGNAUUAANUUGAUCAUGGCUCAGAACGAAGCGUUAAUGCAGGCCUAACACAUGCAAGUCGAGCGGUAGAAGAGCUUGCUCUUCGAUUCAGCGGCGGACGAGGUGAGUAAUGCCUAGGAAUCUGCCUGGUAGUGGGGGACAACGUUUCGAAAGGAACGCUAAUACCGCAUACGUCCUACGGGAGAAAGCAGGGGGACCUUCGGGCCUUGCGCUAUCAGAUGAGCCUAGUCGGAUUAGCUAGUUGGUGGGGUAAUGGCUCACCAAGGCGACGAUCCGUAACUGGUCUGAGAGGAUGAUCAGUCACACUGGAACUGAGAACACGNGGUCCAGACUCCCUAACNGGGAGAGCAG